rnacentral:lncRNA from 1 species
CUCUCCCUAGCUUAUCCAGUUAAUUCUUAUAGUUAUAGUUGUAUGUUCUUUAGAUUAGUUAUUCCUGUUCAUAGUUCAUUGUUAAAUACUUGUAAAUAGUUAGUGGGGGAUAAGGGGGUUGCUUCUCCCCCCUUUUCCCCCGGCGCAUAGCCGGGCUCAUGCCCAAGGCUCCUGGCUUUAAGCCGUGCGCGUCCUGUGCUAAGCCUAUGCCAACAGGAGAUCCGCACAACUCGUGUCUGAAGUGUUUAGGAGAGUCCCACCAAACAGAUAAGUGCAAAAUCUGUAAGGCUUUCAGACCCAGGACCAAAAAGGAGCGGGACUUUCGACUCAAGCAGCUCCUCAUGGAGGCGGCACUUAGCCCAGAUCCUCCCUCGGCCCGCCAAGUUCCAGCACCGAGCGCUUCGGUGCGCAGCGCCCCUGCGGCACCUACCGGUACUACACCACGAGCACACGUGGUUAAGGCCUCGCGGCACCGUCCUCCUUCGGCACCGCGUGCGCCUUGGCGCCAGUCCCUGUCUCCGGGACAUAAGAGACCCUGCAAGACACAGGAGGCCGCUGUCCUACAGGCACUGGCUCCACCGGUACCGGUGGUAGAGCCACGUCCGCCUCUAGAGCGCCAGAAGUCGCAGAUAUCAGGUACACCGUUGACUCUGGCACCGGGGCCGUUGAGUCCGGUGCGGACUGGCUCACCACCACAUUCCGUGGUGGAGCCCUGUCUCCCGUCUACCCCGGAGACGUUUGCGACAGCGAAGGACCUCAUCGCUCUCACGGAGCCGGCGCCAUCUCAACCUGCGGCACCGCCCACCCUUCAGUCAGUGCAAUCCAGGGGCAAGCCUGCCCUGGUACGCCCGCCAUCUCCGAGCGUGGACUCGCGGCACCUCUCCAGGUCUCGGAGCAGGUCCCGAUGCCGCUCGCAGUCCCGGCGCCAAUUUUCACCCCGGCACCGGUCGUACUCGCGGCCUAGGUCCUCUUCACGGCACCGAUCUACGUCUCGGCACCGUCGGGAUCAUCGGUACCAAUCA